CAACUGUGUGAAUUCAUGUGAACUGCAUACUGCUUUGAACAUCGACAUUUUGAACGCAUAUUGCGGCCAUGGGUUAGCCUGUGGCCACGCCUGUCCGAGGGUCGGCU
rnacentral:rRNA from 1 species